rnacentral:lncRNA from 1 species
GGUCUCUGCCACUGCCAGCGGAGAAACAAAGCAGCCAUGUCUUGGAGGGGUCUGCCUCAGAGUGGCUGCUGAGUCUCAGGAGUUGUGUAUCUCUAGCGCUGUGGUUCGUAACCAAUGUAGCCAUGUCUAACGAGACUCCAGCACUGGGCUCUGGGAUGAUGGUGUUGACAGCACCCCUGUGUGUUCAUGAGUGUCAGAGUCCUGAGCUGUCUGUACACCUCACAGAAGCUUGCCGAAGAGCUCCCCUUUGGGAAUGUGAUCCGUGUGCUCCUCUCACCGUGUGCUUGUGUCCUGCAGGUAUGCCAACAGCAGCCUCAUAAAGUACAUGGAGAAACACAAGGUCAAGCCUGACAGCAAAGUGUUCCUUCUGGUAGGUGCUUCUCUCCCAGAUUGAGACCUUGUGAGCACACACGUCUGGUCCUGCUCUCUGUGAAAUUGUCCCCGCCAGUCUCCCUUUUGAAAGGAAAUCAGAAAUUAAUUAAUUGCUGGAUACUUGAGAAAUUGAAUCUUACUCUGUUAAGGAAUCUUCCAUAACUACUAGUCUUAAUUUAUUAAAUGAUUUAUAUCAG